AGAAAGAAAGAAAGAAAGAAAGAAAGAAAGAGAAAGGUUUAUCUGAAGCUUCCACCUGUCCCAAUCUGCUAUGCCAUUCACUAAAGAGCGUGGUCUAUUGACCAACAAGGGCCAAGAGCAGACGCCUGUAAUCUCCACUUGUGUCACUUUGUAUCAUUGUGCCCAAAGUCUUCUGAUACAUCUGGGUGAACAU